UCCUUGGAUAGCUGGGGCACCUCUGAAGAUGCUGACGCUCCUUCUAAGCGACACUCAACCUCUGACCUCUCAGAUGCGACCUUCAGCGAUAUCAGGAGAGAAGGCUGGUUGUAUUAUAAGCAGAUUCUCACCAAGAAGGGGAAGGCUGAGGACUGGGAUGACAUGCUGGGCUGGAUCAGAGCGAUCCGGGAGAACAGCAGGGCCGAGGGCGAGGACCCCGGCUGUGCCAACCAAGCUCUGAUCAGCAAGAAGCUUAAUGAUUAUCGCAAAGUGAGCCAUAGCUCUGGGCCCAAAGCUGAUUCCUCCCCCAAAGGCUCUCGCGGCCUGGGGGGGCCUCAAGUCUGAGUUCCUCAAGCAGAGUGCAGCACGUGGCCUCAGGACUCAGGACCUGCCCGCAGG
rnacentral:lncRNA from 1 species